rnacentral:lncRNA from 1 species
AGAAAGAAUAAAAAUGACAUAAGCAAACUCAUCUUCAAAAGUGGAGAUUUCCAAAUGUCCCCGUAUGCUGAAUACCCCAAAAAUCCUCGCUCACAAGAAUGGGGCCGAGAAGCUAUUGAAAUGCAUGAGAAUGGAAGUACCAAAAACCUCCUCCAGAUGACGGAUGUGUACUACUCGGGAGCCUUUUUUUGAGAUCCAACUGGUCACUUGAGGAUUGCUGUUGGCCUCCUGGUUUGGGGUCCUAACUCCACCUGCAACUAGAUGGUCGUAGGACCUUAUAAAGCCUACAAGUGUAAGGAAUCCAGAACUUGAACGAAACGGACUCUACCCGGCCUACACUGGACUGCCAGGAUCACGGCAUUCUUGCAUUUUCCCCGGACAGUAUAACCCGUCUUUCAUCAGUGAUGAAAGCAGAAGAAGAGACUACUUUUAAGUCCAGGAGAGAGAGGGACUCAUUGCUCUGAGCCAGUCACCUGGGACCUCUGCUCAGAGGACCGCACCAGGAGGCUGCGCCCAGGAUUUGUCGGGAGCC